AACGCAUCUUGCGCUCUUUGGUAUUCCGAAGAGCAUGCCUGUUUGAGUGUUGUGUAUAUUUGAUCUUACUUGACUUUUAGGAGUCUUGUUUGAAUUGAUUUGGACUUUACUUUGCUGGCUUGGCCAGCUGGUCCUGAAUACAUUAGCUGGACUUGGAACUAGCAAUUAAUGCUUCGGUUUGACUCGGCGUGAUAAACUCUUCGCUGAGGACAAGUCUGUUGACUUGGCCGGGGUUGCAGUUUGAAGGUCUGCUAUCUAACUGUCUCCUUUGGAGACAAUGCGACUUGUCGCGGCAUCAGCCUCAAAUCAGGUAGGACUACCCGCUGAACUUAA
rnacentral:rRNA from 1 species